ACUUAUUUAGUAUAAAAAGUAUAUAAAGCCUCCAACUUUAAGGUUUAAUUAAAAAUAAGUA
rnacentral:tRNA from 1 species